rnacentral:rRNA from 1 species
GAUGAACGCUGGCGGCAGGCUUAAUACAUGCAAGUCGAACGGUAACAGUACUAGCAAUAGUAGCUGACGAGUGGCGCACGGGUGCGUAACGCGUAUGCAACCUACCCAUAAUUGGAACAUAACGUUGAGAAAUUAACGCUAAUAUUUCAUGUGAAUAUGAAGAGGCAUCUUUUUAAUUUAAAGAUUCAUUGAUUAUGGAUGGGCAUGCGUAUCAUUAGCUAGUUGGUGAGGUAACGGCUCACCAAGGCAACGAUGAUUAGGGGUUCUGAGAGGAUAUCCCCCCAACUGGAACUGAGACACGGUCCAGACUCCUACGGGAGCAGCAGUAGGGAAUAUUAGAAAUGGACGAAAGUCUGAUCUAGCGACACCGCGUGUGCGAUGAAGGCCUUGGGUUGUAAAGCACUUUUUGGAAGGAAUAGGAAGGAAGGUACUUCCAGAAUAAGUCUACGGCUAACUACGUAG